AUGAACGCUAGCGACAGGCUUAACACAUGCAAGUCGAGGGGCAGCACAGGUAGCAAUACCGGGUGGCGACCGGCGCACGGGUGAGUAACGCGUAUGCAACUUGCCUAUCAGAGGGGGAUAACCCGGCGAAAGUCGGACUAAUACCGCAUGAAGCAGGGAUCCCGCAUGGGAAUAUUUGCUAAAGAUUCAUCGCUGAUAGAUAGGCAUGCGUUCCAUUAGGCAGUUGGCGGGGUAACGGCCCACCAAACCGACGAUGGAUAGGGGUUCUGAGAGGAAGGUCCCCCACAUUGGUACUGAGACACGGACCAAACUCCUACGGGAGGCAGCAGUGAGGAAUAUUGGUCAAUGGCCGAGAGGCUGAACCAGCCAAGUCGCGUGAGGGAUGAAGGUUCUAUGGAUCGUAAACCUCUUUUAUAAGGGAAUAAAGUGCGGGACGUGUCCCGUUUUGUAUGUACCUUAUGAAUAAGGAUCGGCUAACUCCGUGCCAGCAGCCGCGGUAAUACGGAGGAUCCGAGCGUUAUCCGGAUUUAUUGGGUUUAAAGGGUGCGUAGGCGGCCUUUUAAGUCAGCGGUGAAAGUCUGUGGCUCAACCAUAGAAUUGCCGUUGAAACUGGGGGGCUUGAGUAUGUUUGAGGCAGGCGGAAUGCGUGGUGUAGCGGUGAAAUGCAUAGAUAUCACGCAGAACCCCGAUUGCGAAGGCAGCCUGCCAAGCCAUUACUGACGCUGAUGCACGAAAGCGUGGGGAUCAAACAGGAUUAGAUACCCUGGUAGUCCACGCAGUAAACGAUGAUCACUAGCUGUUUGCGAUACACUGUAAGCGGCACAGCGAAAGCGUUAAGUGAUCCACCUGGGGAGUACGCCGGCAACGGUGAAACUCAAAGGAAUUGACGGGGGCCCGCACAAGCGGAGGAACAUGUGGUUUAAUUCGAUGAUACGCGAGGAACCUUACCCGGGUUUGAACGCAUUCGGACCGAGGUGGAAACACCUUUUCUAGCAAUAGCCGUUUGCGAGGUGCUGCAUGGUUGUCGUCAGCUCGUGUCGUGAGAUGUUGGGUUAAGUCCCGCAACGAGCGCAACCCUUAUCGUCCGUUACUAACAGGUAGCGCUGAGGACUCAGACGAGACCGCCGGGGACAACUCGGAGGAAGGUGGGGACGACGUCAAAUCAUCAUGCCCCUUACGACCUGGGCUACACACGUGCUACAAUGGCGUGGACAAAGGGAAGCCACCUGGCGACAGGGAGCGAAUCCCCAAACCACGUCUCAGUUCGGAUCGGAGUCUGCAACCCGACUCCGUGAAGCUGGAUUCGCUAGUAAUCGCGCAUCAGCCAUGGCGCGGUGAAUACGUUCCCGGGCCUUGUACACACCGCCCGUCAAGCCAUGGGAGCCGGGGGUACCUGAAGUCCGUAACCGCGAGGAUCGGCCUAGGGUAAAACUGGUGACUGGGGCU
rnacentral:rRNA from 1 species